UUGUUACUAUUAUUGUUGUAUUAUUGUUGCUUAUAAUUUAUACAAUUAACCUCCAUGUGGUUCGACCCCGGUCUUGCCGGGUUAUUUAUUACUUCGACACUCCUGCACUUGGGAGAAGACAUCAAUCUUUUGGUCGUGUCAAUUGGAUCGGGAUGUGAAAUAAAAUUGAAAGUGUAAUAUGAUUUUGUCGAUAACUUGGGACCCCCUAGUAUAGAGGAGACUAUGUCGAAUUUUUUUUGAAAAUAAUCGAAGUUAAUUAUGUAAUUAUUCGAAUAAAUUUGUGUAGAUGCGUAGAAUGAAAUCUACAGCACGUUGUUAGAAGACGAUUGAAGCUAGUUUUUCUAGCAGCGAGGAGGACGUAUCCUUAGGUGCUGAUCACGGCGAGGAAUCUACGCCACCUUGUGAUAUUGCCUCUUCUAGCGCGGUUUCAUAGCGCAGAAGCGAUGUACCUUCAUAGCGGGGUCAAUUCACCCGCAAGUACUAGGCACAAUGGAAGGAUGACCUCUUAAUGUUCACAAACAUUGAGGCUGCAAGGACUAUAACAUUGGUGUUUAAAUCAUCGAUGGAGAUUCCAUUGUUUCAAUGGAGUCAGGUUUCCAGACAUCCUAAGUGGAAACCUAAUAUCAAUGCAUGGUUUAAGUGAUUUCAGAACAAAUUUGAGUGGGAUAGGACGAACAACAAUGUUGUGAGGAGGGUAUGGGAGAAUCACGCAGCAACUAGGUUACGUGAUUUUUGGUAUAACACCAAAAAAAAUCAAAAAGACAUGCGAGGGAUAAUGGUCUUGAAGGAUGGAAUGAGGUGGCAGUUUGGCAGGAAUUCAAACCACCAUUCAUCUCGAGGGAAAUAUGGACGGCAUAUAUUGAGCACGUGACCUUAGAGCGGUUCUCACGACGCUCACAGUUCGGCGCCAACAACCAGAACCGGCAAAUUCAUGGUUCGGUGACCGCACACACUGGCGGAUCCGUCCCAUUCAGCGCACAUGCAAAGCGGAUGGCUGCGUCUCUUGGACGUGAGCCAAGUCCAAUGGAGUUGUUUGUAAAGACGCAUGUGCAGAAUCAAGACCGCCAAAAAAGGGUGCAGUAGUUCGUGGACAACCGUGCUCAGCACUUCGUGAGACUUAUAAUAGCCGGUUGAGGGAGAGAUAUGGGGACAAUCCUUCAACCCAUCCAGAUUUCGAUCCAGAUUUGUGGAUGGAGGUGAGAUCGUCUGGUGGACCCGAUAAAAAUUGAGUCUACGGGCUCUCCAACACUACGGCUGAAAACUUGCGUUCGACUCGUAGUGUCUCAACCGUUGGAAGCUCUCUAUCAGUAUCAAACACCCAGUCUGAGGAGUUCAUUGCCUUGAAACAAUAAUAUCAAAAACUCUCGACGAAUUAUGAUGAGCUCUGUCAAAUAGUCAUGGAGAUGAGAUCAAAUAUGGGUGACGAUACUUGUGCAGCUCCUUUUUGGCCGUAUGGUCCCGGGAACAACCAGCCUCCUCCUUCUCCUCCAGCUCCACUGCUAUUCUAGUUUAAUUUUGUUUUUUAAACACAUUAAAUUUGUAAUGAAUAUUAUUUAACAUUACUUUUAUAUUUUUAAUGUUUAACCCAAUUUUAUUUGUUUAUUAAGCUUUUUUACUAUUAAUAAAUUAUUUAUAUAUA